rnacentral:lncRNA from 1 species
UUAAUUUUCAAUGUGGCUGCAGGCAAACACAUUUUAAGUUGGGAAUUACUUAAAAGUAGAAAAAAAAGCUCAAGAAAACAAGAAAUCAGUGAGACAGAAGACUUCAAUAUGUUAUAUUGAGUUGGGAAAACAUUAAGUUUUUUCUAUUGAUUGGACGUCAAAAUCGAUCUAUUUGUUAUCAUUAAGGUUGUCUCGAAAAAAAAAAGGUGGAAAAACGAAUAAAACGACUAUCACAUGCGGAAUUCCCCAGGGAUCAAUUUUAGGAUUUUAAUUUACGUUAAUGAUUUAAAUGAUUUUCUAA